GACGAACGCUGGCGGCGUGCUUAACACAUGCAAGUCGAACGGAAAGGCCCUGCUUUUGUUGGUUUCUCGAUUGGCGAACGGGUGAGUAACACGUGAGUAACCUGCCCUUGACUUUCGGAUAACUUCAGGAAACUGGGGCUAAUAUCCGAUAGGAGCUCCUGCUGCAUGGUGUUGGUUGGUAAGUGUCGGCGGUUGUGGAUGGACUCGCGGGUUCUCAGCUUGUUUGUGGGGUAGUUGCUUACCAAGGCUUUGACGGGUAGCCGGCAUGAGAGGGUGAACGGCGACCUUGGGACUGAGAUACGGAGCAGACGCAGACGGGAGGCAGCAGUGGGAAAUAUUGCAGAAUGGGGGGAAGCCUGAUGCAGAAACGCCGGGUGCGGGAUGCCGGCCUUCGGGUUGUAAACAGAUUUCGAAUGUGACGAAGAGGGAGUGACGGUAAUGGGUAAAGAAGCAACGGCUAACUACGUG
rnacentral:rRNA from 1 species